ACGUAGGGUGCGAGCGUUAAUCGGAAUUACUGGGCGUAAAGCGUGCGCAGGCGGUUGGGAAAGAUAGGUGUGAAAUCCCUGGGCUUAACCUAGGAAUUGCAUUUAUGACUGCCCGACUGGAGUACGGUAGAGGGGAGUGGAAUUCCGCGUGUAGCAGUGAAAUGCGUAGAUAUGCGGAGGAACACCGAUGGCGAAGGCAGCUCCCUGGACCUGUACUGACGCUCAUGCACGAAAGCGUGGGGAGCAAACAGGAUUAGAUACCCUGGUAGUCCACGCCCUAAACGAUGUCGACUGGUUGUUGGACGGGAAACUGUUCAGUAACGAAGCUAACGCGUGAAGUCGACCGCCUGGGGAGUACGGCCGCAAGGUUA
rnacentral:rRNA from 1 species